GUACACGCUGUGACUAGCAUAUCAAUAAGCGGAGGAAAAGAAACUAACAAGGAUUCCCUUAGUAACGGCGAGUGAAGCGGGAAGAGCUCAAAUUUGAAAUCUUCAAGGUUUUACCUUGACGAAUUGUAGUUUAAAGAAGUGUUUUCUGCUGAAGUUUUGGUAAAAGUUCUUUGGAAUAGGACAUCAUAGAGGGUGAGAAUCCCGUAUUUGACCAUUAUUUUCAGCUUUGUGAUACACUUUCAAAGAGUCGGAUUGUUUGGGAAUGCAGUCCAAAAUGGGUGGUAAAUUUCAUCUAAAGCUAAAUAUUGGCGAGAGACCGAUAGCGAACAAGUACCGUGAGGGAAAGAUGAAAAGAACUUUGAAAAGAGAGUUAAACAGUACGUGAAAUUGUCAAAAGGGAAGCGUUUGACACCAGUGUUGUUUUCUCGAAAAUCAAUUAAAAAUGGCUCGAUUUUGUAUUGCUUGAGACCUUAAAAGCUCACUGUACAUUUUUCGUGUCUUUUUUAAUGCACUUUUCGUUUAACAAGUCAACAUCAGUUUCUUUUGUUGUAAAAGGGUCAUUGGAAGGUGGCUUUCUUUUCGGAGAAAGUGUUUAUAGCCUUUGGCCUCUGCAAUCGGAGAGACUGAGGUCUGCAGCGUAGACUCUUCGGGGUUAGAUACAUUUGUGCUAAGUUAUAGCUUUUUACAGACAACUUGUUGACUAUAAUUAGUCUUGUAGCUUACUCGCUUAUGCUAUUUUACCUACGCUUAGGAUGUUGAGUAGCGACAUACGCAC
rnacentral:rRNA from 1 species